rnacentral:rRNA from 1 species
AGUGAACGCUGGCGGUAGGCCUAACACAUGCAAGUCGAACGGCAGCACAGUAAGAUCUUGCUCUUACGGGUGGCGAGUGGCGGACGGGUGAGGAAUACAUCGGAAUCUACUUUUUCGUGGGGGAUAACGUAGGGAAACUUACGCUAAUACCGCAUACGACCUACGGGUGAAAGCAGGGGAUCUUCGGACCUUGCGCGAUUGAAUGAGCCGAUUUCGGAUUAGCUAGUUGGCGGGGUAAAGUCCCACCAUGGCGACGAUCCGUAGCUGGUCUGAGAGGAUGAUCAGCAACACUGGAACUGAGACACGGUCCAGACUCCUACGGGAGGCAGCAGUGGGGAAUAUUGGACAAGGGGCGCAAGCCUGAUCCAGCCAGACCGCGUGGGUGAAGAAGGCCUUCGGGUUGUAAAGCCCUUUUGUUGGGAAAGAAAAGCAGCAGGUUAAGACCCCGCUGUUCUGACGGUACCCAAAGAAUAAGCACCGGCUAACUUCGU